rnacentral:rRNA from 1 species
UACGUAGGGUGCGAGCGUUGUCCGGAAUUAUUGGGCGUAAAGAGCUCGUAGGCGGCUUGUCGCGUCGGAUGUGAAAGCCCGGGGCUUAACUCCGGGUCUGCAUUCGAUACGGGCAGGCUAGAGUUCGGUAGGGGAGAUCGGAAUUCCUGGUGUAGCGGUGAAAUGCGCAGAUAUCAGGAGGAACACCGGUGGCGAAGGCGGAUCUCUGGGCCGAUACUGACGCUGAGGAGCGAAAGCGUGGGGAGCGAACAGU